rnacentral:miRNA from 1 species
AACCCGUAGAAUCGGAUUUGUG